UGGGGAAUUUUGGACAAUGGGGGCAACCCUGAUCCAGCCAUGCCGCGUGCGGGAAGAAGGCCUUCGGGUUGUAAACCGCUUUUGUCCGGAAAGAAAAGGCGCCCCCUAAUACGGGGCGUUCUUGACGGUACCGGAAGAAUAAGCACCGGCUAACUACGUGCCAGCAGCCGCGGUAAUACGUAGGGUGCGAGCGUUAAUCGGAAUUACUGGGCGUAAAGCGUGCGCAGGCGGUCCGCAAAGUCUGAUGUGAAAGCCCCGGGCUCAACCUGGGAACUGCAUUGGAAACUAACGGGCUCGAGUGUGGCAGAGGGGGGUGGAAUUCCACGUGUAGCAGUGAAAUGCGUAGAGAUGUGGAGGAACACCGAUGGCGAAGGCAGCCCCCUGGGCUAACACUGACGCUCAGGCACGAAAGCGUGGGGAGCAAACAGGAUUAGAUACCCCCGUAGUCC
rnacentral:rRNA from 1 species